CCCGUGUAUGUUGCAAAAUACUGGGAUGACUUGUGACUAGGAGUGAAAGGCUAAUCAAACUCGGUAAUAGCUGGUUUUCUGCGAAAUCUAUUUAAGUAAAGCAUCAAGUAAUUGGUAGUUUGGGGUAGAGCACUCAUUGAACUAGGGGGAUGAAAAUCUUACCAAACUCAAGGAAACUCCGAAUACAGACUAUUAUUAUCUUGGUAGACGGACAUUGGGCGCUAAGGUUCAAUGUCAAGAGGGAAACAGCCCAGAUUAUUUACUAAGGUCCUUAAAUAAUGUCUAAGUGGAAAAGGAAGUCAGAAUAUUAAGACAACCAGUAGGUAGGCUUGGAAGCAGCCAUCCUUUAAAGAAAGCGUAACAGCUCACUGGUCUAGUAAUUUGGCGCCGAAAAUGUAAAGGGACUAAAGACAUUUACCGAAGUAGUAACUAUAUGUUUCAUAACUAAACGUAUAUGAAACAUGUGGGGUAGCAGAACGUUCUGUAGAUCGAAGAAGUUAUCUUGGAAAAGAUAAUGGAGGUAUCAGAAGUGAGAAUGCUGACAUAAGUAACGAUAAACCAGAGCCUAGCUUUAAAAGGCCGGGCAGAAUUCUGGUCGCCGUAAGCCCAAGGGUUUCUAUAGUAAAGUUCGACUUCAUAGAUUAAAUCGGUCCCUAAGAACAAAGCGAAAGCUGUAAUCGAUGGGAAAUAUUUAUAAAUAUCUUUUGAUGAUGACGAAAAUUAGAAGUUAACUAGUUCAAGAACCUGUUAUUAUAAUUUUCCAGGAAAAAGUCACAAAGUUUUAUAUAAAAGACCGUACCCGAAACCGACACAGGUGGGCGAGUCGAGUAGACUCAGGCGCGUGAGAGAAUCAAGUUUAAGGAACUCGGCAAAAUGACCUUGUAACUUCGGAAUAAAAGGUACUCAUACGAGUGACACAAAAUUGGGGGUAACGACUGUUUAAUAAAAACACAGGGCUCUGCUAAGUCGUAAGACGAUGUAUAGGGUCUGACACCUGCCCGGUGCCAGAAGGUUAAGAGGAGAGGUAUAUGCUUCAAAUUGAAUCCCUGGUAAACGGCGGCCGUAACUCUGACGGUCCUAAGGUAGCGAAAUUCCUUGUCAAUUAAUUGUUGACGUGCAUGAAUGGUGUAACGAUUUCCCCACUGUCUCAAACUUGGUCUCAGUGAAAUUGAAUUGUCCGUGAAGAUGCGGACUAUCUACGGCUAGACGGAAAGACCCCGUGCACCUUUACUACAAUUUUUCAUUGUGUAUUAAACUUAAUUAUGCAGGAUAAGUGGGAGCUUAUGACUAUUUAGCACAAGCUAAAUACGAGGCGACCUUGAGAUACCACUUUUUUAAGCUUUAAUCACUUAACUUAAUUUUUUUAAUAUUUAACGAAGAAUGAGGAAAGUGAAUGAUUGGUAGUUUGACUGGGGCGGUCACCUCCUAAAGAGUAACGGAGGUGCGCAAAGGCAAGCUCAAACUGGAAAAAUAUCAGUUGUAGAGCGUAAUAGUAUAUGCUUGCCUGACUGUGAGGCAGACAUGCCGAGCAGGCAUAGGUAAUUUAUUAUACCUGUGGGUUAUAGUGAUCCGGUGGUCCAUUAUGGAGUGGCCAUCGCUCAACGGAUAA
rnacentral:rRNA from 1 species